AAUUUUAAAUAUACUAAAGCUCUGUUGCCCCAUUCCCUGUUCAUCACUGUACACAGUGGAGUGACGGUUUUGCCCUUAUUAUUUUGAUGAAUGACAGUGUUGCCUGAGAAGUUCGGCUAUAAUUCUGGGUUCUUCUUCUUUUUGGAAGUAUCUGUUUUCACUAUCUCCACACCGACAUCGGUUCUUGCAGACUGUCAAUGUGGUUUUCGGUUCAAUUUUCAGUCUAUGUUGGGUUUCUGUUUGAUUACACUUAACAAAACCUGUUUUUUGCUUUCCGAUUUUGUUGAAACAGAAGAAGAGGAGGAGGAGGAAGAAGAAGAAGAAGAGGGAGACGGGAAGAAGUUGUCGCUCGAUUCGAACAAAUCAUCUCAGGGGUAUUGUUCCUGCUUCAGUUUGGGGUUUGAGUGAUUGAUUUGAGGACGUUGAAGUUCAAUUGCUUUGGGAGUCAUUUCUGUUGAGAAGAGAUGGAGCUAUCCCUGGUCUCACUUGAAAGAAACCUCCUUAAAGGGAUGAAGAAGCCGUGAAGAAAUCAACGCUGGUCUGCGCCGAAACAUUGAAGAAUGAGGCAAUCCAAGGAUCUUUUCUAGAAGCAUACUACACCACAGUAAGGACUGCUGCCUUCUUCCUUGCCUAGCAGUUUUUGGUUUCUCAACUUUCUCUCUAUUUACUUUCCUUGCUGCUGCCUCCAUGCACUUUGUCAUCCGUUGCUGUGACAGGCAAGCAGAAAAACAUGGAACUACAUCAUCAUCAUCAGCACCAUUGUCAGCUGCUAAAUAGAAAAACAAUUGAAUUGAAAUAGCUAUGUUAUAUAGCUUUUGCUAGACUAAUCAAUUUCGUGCAGCUGCAACUCCAACUCCAAUCGGAGCCGUCACUUUUUUGAACCAACACUAGCAUUUUACAAAG